CUUCUUCUUCUUCUUCUUCUUCUUCUUCUCAUUUCCAUACCACCAUCACCCAUUCCCACGAUAUUUAUAACUGGUGGUGAUGAUGGUGGUGGUGGUGGUGGUGGUGAUGGUGGAGGUGGUGAUAAUAUUAGUGGUGAUGGUGGUGGUGAUGGUGUAGGUGGUGAUAAUAUUAGUGGUGGUGUUGGUGGUGGUGAAAGCAUGUUGAAAGAAAAGGGAAGGAAAAGGAAAGAAAUUAAGUUGAAAGUAAGAGAAAGUAAACGGAAGGAAGGAAAAGAAAGGAGAGAAAAAAAUAGUCAUGGUGAAAGAAAGGAAGGAAAAGGAGAGAGAGAAAAGAAAGUUGAAAGGACACGAAAAGAAGCAAAAGAAAGGAGAGAAAAAAAUAGUCAUGGUGGAAGAAAGGAAGGGAAAGGAGAAAGAAAAAAAAGGUUGAAAGGACCCGAAAGGAAGCAAAAGAAAGGAGAGAAAAAAAUAGUCAUGGUGAAAGAAAGGAAGGAAAAGGAGAGAGAGAAAAGAAAGUCGAAAGGACACGAAAGGAAGGAAAAGAAAGGAGAGAAAAAUUAAGGUCAAGGUGAAAGAAAGGAAGGAAAAGGAGAGAGAGAAAAGAAAGUUGAAAGGACACGAAAAGAAGCAAAAGAAAGGAGAGAAAAAAAUAGUCAUGGUGAAAGAAAGGAAGGAAAAGGAGAAAGAAAAAGAAGGUUGAAAGGACACGAAAGGAAGGAAAAGAAAAAUAAGGUUAAUCCCCCCCAGUCACACACAUCACCUUCCCUGAGUCACCCCUUAACUCAUUGUCCGGAGCGGUGGGAAAAGUGGGACGGAAAGCGAACGUGAGGAUGAACAAAAAUAAACGGGGAAAAAACAGAAAACGAAGGAAAGGGUGCACUGAUCUCUUUCUUUAACACAUGCAAGUCGACAAGUAGAGUUAGAUCGUUUUAAAAAAGGAUCAGAAUACACAAAGAAGAAAGGGACAGGGAAGCAAAAGGGGAAAGGCACUGAUCUCUUUCUUUAACACAUGCAAGUCGACAAGUAGAGUUAGAUCGUUUUAGAAAAGGAUCAGAAUACACAAAGAAGAAAGGGACAGGGAAGCAAAAGGGGAUAGGCAAUGAUCUCUUUCUUGAACACAUGCAAGUCGGCAAGUAGAGUUAGAUCGUUUUAAAAAAGGAUCAGAAUACACAAAGAAGAAAGGGACAGGGAAGCAAAAGGGGAAAGGCAGUGAUCUCUUUCUUUAACACAUGCAAGUCGGCAAGUAGAGUUAGAUCGUUUUAAAAAAGGAUCAGAAUACACAAAGAAGAAUGGGACAGGGAUGCAAAAGGGGAAAGGCAAUGAUCUCUUUCUUUAACACAUGCAAGUCGACAAGUAGAGUUAGAUCGUUUUAGAAAAGGAUCAGAAUACACAAAGAAGAAUGGGACAGGGAAGCAAAAGGGGAUAGGCAAUGAUCUCUUUCUUUAACACAUGCAAGUCGACAAGUAGAGUUAGAUCGUUUUAAAAAAGGAUCAGAAUACACAAAGAAGAAAGGGACAGGGAAGCAAAUGGGGAUAGGCAAUGAUCUUCUUUGACAUGCAAGCCGUCAUAUAGAGUUAGAUCGUUUUAGAAAAGGAUCUCAAUACACAGAUAAAGAAGGAAGGGAAAGGGAAGCAAAAAAGGGAAGGGCAGUGAUCUCUUUCUUUAACACAUGCAAGCUAUCAUAUAGAGUUAGAUCGUUUUAGAAAAGGAUCUCAAUACACAGAUAAAGAAGGAAGGGAAAGGGAAGCAAAAGGGGAAGGGUAGUGGAUUCCCUUUCCCAAAUACCCGCAAAUCACAGAGAGAAGGUAUUAGCAGUAAGACAAAAGGCGAUCUGAAUACAAAAUAAGGGAUUGGAAACGAGAAAAAGAAAAUAUUAAUAAAGAAACGGAAGAGAAGGGAAGCAAGAAGGGUAGGGCAUUGAAUUCCUCUCCCUAAACACAUGCAAGUAAUCACGUAGAGUUAGAACGUAAGAAAAAAGAAUGAAUGUAAAUAAUAAGGGAGUGGAAACAAUAAAAACAAUAAUAAUUAGGAAUGGAAGGGCAGUAAUUUCCUAUUUAAAACGUGUACGUGAUCAGAUAGAGUUGGAGGGAAAAGACGGAGCAGUCAGAAUGCAAAUAAUAUAGGAGUGGAAACGAUGAAAAAGAGUAUUAAUAAAGAAAGAUAAGGAAGGGCAGUUAAUCCUCUUCUAAACACAUGCAAGUCGUCACGUUGAGUUGGAAAUAAGAUAAAAGGAUCUGAAUGCAAAUAAUAUAGGAGUGGAAACGAUGAAAAAGAGGAUAUUAAUAAAGAAAGGGAAGGAAGGGCAGUUAAUCCUCUUCUUAAACACAUGCAAGUCGUCACGUAGAGUUAGGAGGAAGAGAGAAGGAUCUGAAUACACAAAAUUUGGGAGUGGAAACGAUUGAGAGAGUAUUAAUUAAGAAAAGGAAGGAAAGGGAAGGGCAGUGGAUUCCUGCUGCUCUCCAAAACGUGUACAGGAUCAGAUAGAGUUAGAAAUAAAAAGAAAAUCGAUCUGAAUGCAAAUAAUAAGGGAGUGGAAACGAUUAAAAGUGAAAUAUUAAUAAAGAAAGAGAAGGGAAGGACAGUGAUUUCCCGUCCUCCAAAACGUGUGCACCAUUAGAGAAGGUUAGGAGGAAAAGUUGAUCUGAAGGUGACUAAUGUGGGAGUGGAGACGAUUGACAGAGACUAAUUAUUGAAAACGGAAGGGAAGCGAGGGGAAGACCAGUGAUUUCCCGUCCUCCAAAACGUGUGCACCAUUAGAUAAGGUUAGGAGGAAAAGUUGAUCUGAAGGUGACUAAUGUGGGAGUGGAGACGAUUAACAGAAUAAUUACUGUAAACGGAAGGGAAGGGAAGGGAAGGGAAGUGACUUUUCCUCCUUCUCAAACACAUGCAAGUCACGGGAAUGUAUAACAAGUAAAUAGAAAAGACAAACUCAACUAAACUUAAGU